AUGGGCUUGGAGCGCCAUGGGUUUGUGGGAGGUCCCCUCCACCCCAAACCAUUCUGGGAUCCUACAAAAACUCCUGAAAUCUUGAGGGAGCCUGAGGCUAAAAUUUACCUGCAGGUGGAACAAAAAACCCCCAACCUCAGAGUCAAAACCAGGCCAAGCCCCCAGCUGCUGGGGAGGGGUAAAAGAAGAAAUCUCCUUUCUCAGGAGUGUUUUUGGAGAGAAAGCUCCUUUCUCAGGGGUGUUUUUUUGGGAAGAAAUCUCCUUUCUCAGGAGUAUUUUUUGGGGAGAAAUCUCCUUUCUCAGGAGUGUUUUUUCGGGAGAAAUCUCCUUUCUCAGGAGUGUUUUUUGGGAAGAAAUCUCCUUUCUCAGGGGUGUUUUUCAGGGAGAAAUCUCCUUUCUCAGGAGUGUUUUUUGGGGAGAAAUCUCCUUUCUCAGGGGUGUUUUUUGGGAAGAAAUCUCCUUUCUCAGGGGUGUUUUUUGGGAAGAAAUCUCCUUUCUCAGGAGUGUUUUUUGGGGAGAAAUCUCCUUUCUCAGGGGUGUUUUUUUGAGAAGAAAUCUCCUUUCUCAGGAGUGUUUUUUGGGGAGAAAUCUCCUUUCUCAGGGGUGUUUUUCAGGGAGAAAUCUCCUUUCUCAGGGGUGUUUUUUGAGGAGAAAUCUCCUUUCUCAGGAGUGUUUUUGAAGAGAAAUCUCCUUUCUCAGGGGUGUUUUCUGGGGAGAAAUCUCCUUUCUCAAGAGUAUUUUCUGGGGAGAAAUCUCCUUUCUCAGGAGUGUUUUUUGGGAAAUCUCCUUUCUCAGGGGUGUUUUUUGAGAAGAAAUCUCCUUUCUCAGGGGUGUUUUUUGAGGGAGAAAUCUCCUUUCUCAGGGGUGUUUUCUGGGGAGAAAUCUCCUUUCUCAGGGGUGUUUUUUGGGGAAGAAAUCUCCUUUCUCAGGGGUGUUUUUUGGGAAGAAAUCUCCUUUCUCAGGGGUGUUUUUUGGGAAGAAAUCUCCUUUCUCAGGGGUGUUUUUUGGGGAGAAAUCUCCUUUCUCAGGGGUGUUUUUUGGGAAAUCUCCUUUCUCAGGAGUAUUUUUUGGAAAUCUCCCUUCUCAGGAGUGUUUUUUGGGAAAUCUCCUUUCUCAGGGGUGUUUUUUGAGGAGAAAUCUCCUUUCUCAGGAGUGUUUUUUGGGAAGAAAUCUCCUUUCUCAGGAGUGUUUUUUGAGGAGAAAUCUCCUUUCUCAGGGGUGUUUUUUGGGAAGAAAUCUCCUUUCUCAGGGGUGUUUUUUGGGAAAUCUCCUUUCUCAGGAGUGUUUUUUGGGAGAAAUCUCCUUUCUCAGGAGUGUUUUUUGGGGAGAAAUCUCCUUUCUCAGGGGUGUUUUUUUGGGAAGAAAUCUCCUUUCUCAGGAGUGUUUUUUGGGGAGAAAUCUCCUUUCUCAGGGGUGUUUUUUGGGAAGAAAAGAAAUCUCCUUUCUCAGGGGUGUUUUUUGGGGAGAAAUCUCCUUUCUCAGGGGUGUUUUUUGGGGAAGAAAUCUCCUUUCUCAGGAGUGUUUUUUUGGGGGAAAUGGCCUUUUUUCCUGCUGGAAUCCGAGUGCAGCUCGGGGAGCAGCCAGGGCACUGCAGCUGCCCCCGGGGCAGUCGGGGGUGAGCUCAGAGCGCUUCGGGGCUGGGAAUUACCACGGCCAGAAGCGAGCAGUGUGUCUUCCCCCUGUAAUUACCCCGGCAGCUGUGUGGCCAGAGGGAAAGGUGAACCCCCCGCACACACAAAGAGGAGCCGGGAAAUCCCUGUGGCUCCUUCAAAUUCACCAUUAGCCGGCUGGCUGGUUUAUUUUUGCCUCCUUCAGAGUGCCCCCCUUGCCCUGAGCUGA
ensembl:lncRNA